UGUACCUACGGGGGGCAGCAGUAGGGAAUCUUCCACAAUGGGCGAAAGCCUGAUGGAGCAACGCCGCGUGGGUGAAGAAGGUCUUCGGAUCGUAAAACCCUGUUGUUAGAGAAGAAAGUGCGUGAGAGUAACUGUUCACGUUUCGACGGUAUCUAACCAGAACGCCACGGCUAACUACGUGCCAGCAGCCGCGGUAAUACGUAGGUGGCAAGCGUUAUCCGGAUUUAUUGGGCGUAAAGGGAACGCAGGCGGUCUUUUUAGUCUGUUGUGAAACCCUUCGGCUUAACCGGAUUA
rnacentral:rRNA from 1 species